UACAAAUAUCUUCUCACUUGAUCCUCACAACAACCCUGAGAGGAAGUAUAAGAUAACCAAAAUUGACAGAUUUGGACAAUCCCCUGUUUUGAAUCUAUUUCGCCUAACUGGUUUUUCAGGAGUGGUACCCAUUAAUUUAUAGGGAUGGAGAUUGCCUCUCAUCAGUCUCACCUGUUGCAACAACUUAAUGAGCAGCGAAGGCAAGAUGUGUUUUGUGACUGCAGUAUUCUAGUUGAAGGGAAGGUCUUCAAAGCACAUAGAAAUGUGCUAUUUGCAAGUAGUGGCUACUUUAAAAUGCUUCUUUCUCAGAGCUCAAAGGAGACUAGUCAGCCAACCACAGCUACAUUUCAAGCAUUCUCACCUGAUACUUUUACUGUUAUUCUGGACUUUGUAUAUUCAGGCAAACUUUCUCUCACUGGUCAAAAUGUCAUAGAAGUGAUGUCAGCUGCUAGUUUCCUUCAGAUGACUGAUGUCAUUAGUGUAUGUAAGACCUUCAUUAAGUCUUCACUUGAUAUAAGUGAGAAAGAGAAGGAUCGCUAUUUCAGUCUCUCAGAUAAAGAUGCCAAUUCCAAUGGUGUAGCAGAACGUUCUUCUUCUUAUAAUGCAGGGUGGUGUGGAGAAAGCAGCCCUCCACAAUCUCAUGUAAGUCCAGACCAAGGAACAUGUACUAUGAGUGGAAAAACUUGGAGUAAUUACAACUACUAUCCAGCUUCCCAAAGGAGCACUCAGCAACACCCACCCAAACAUGAACAAAGACAAGAUUCUGUUAAAAAGUCCAGGCAUUUGGGAUUACCACAGUCUACAGAUGUUCCUCAUUACAAGUCAAGCAAGCUUGAAGAGCGAACUUCUGAGCCUCCUAAUCACACUCCUCCAUCUGAAGAAAAGGUACAAAAUGAUGCUGAAAUUGACUUCCCUCGUGUGGGGCAUAAGUAUGGCAAAGUAUCUGAUGUUACACCCAGAAGCCUACCAGGCUCCCAACAAGAACAAGAAUCCUCUCGAUCUACAUCCAAGUCACCUAAAACUGAUGAACCAUAUUCCAAUAUGCCUUUAAUUUUAGGUGUUAUGGGCAGCUGGAAUGAAGAUGAACUGCCUAGAAUGAGAUUCAAAUGCCCAUUCUGCACACAUGUGGUGAAACGGAAAGCAGACCUAAAGCGCCACCUUCGCUGCCAUACAGGAGAACGGCCUUACCCUUGUGAGGCCUGUGGGAAGAGAUUCAGCAGGCUAGACCAUCUAAGUAGCCAUUUUCGAACAAUUCAUCAGGCAUGCAAGCUAAUCUGCCGAAAAUGCAAGCGUCAUGUGACUGAUCUAACUGGACAAGUGGUACAGGAGGGAACAAGGCGCUACAGACUGUGCAAUGAGUGCCUUGCUGAAGCUGGCAUAGACAGCAUCCCCAUUGAUUUGGGUGCUGAACAACCACUUGCAUCCCCUUCAGAUGGAGAUAAGAAGUCAAAAUGGCAACUGAGUGAAGGACAAAAAAAGUCUUAUGUGGAGAUUGUAGAGGAUGGGUCUGCUGAUCUGGUCAUACAACAGGUUGAUGAUAGUGAAGAUGAAGAAGAAGAAAAGGAAAUAAAGCCCAACAUUAGGUAGUUGUGAAACAACUGACCUAGCAUGUCUUAUAUUUGAAUUCUUAUAUUUCUCUCUUCCCCUGACAAGAGUCUGGUUAACACAUCUAUCAUAUUGGCUUUUUUAAAUGACCUGAUCUAAUUUGCAUGCAUUUAUGGACAAACCAUUAAGUUCACAUUCUGAACUAUAUUACUGUGGGGUACCAGUAUGUUGCUGCAUUGGAAAAGAGGACAUAGCUUGAGUUGGCAUGACGGAUGAACAACUGAUCUCUGAACUAUAAUAUAGUAAUACUUUUUAUAUAUUAGAAGAUCAACUUGAGAAAUUUUUCAGUGAUAAACAUUUAAGAUAAAUUAACUAUAGCCAAACAUGAAACUUUAUAAGACUUUCCAGAUGCUUUUUUAUAAAAUAGAUAAGCUAUCACAUAUUGCAUAUUCCUGGGGAAAAAAGGAAACUGGUUUAAUUUGGAGUGAAGAUUACAGUAGUAGACAUUUUGUUCCAAUCACCAACUUCUGAACUCUGUCACAACUGUCAAUGGAAGAGUGUUAACUGAUGAGCUUGGAUCCUUGCAGAAACAAUGUGGAACAUAAAUUCUCCAUUUAAAUGCAGUUCUGCCUGGAGGCAGCAAAAUGAACAAAUAACUUCUUGAAUUCUCUGAAUUCUAUCAUCUUAAGGUCUCCUGCCCUACAUCACUUAAUUGUUUAUGUAAGCAAAUGAACAUAUAACAAAGAAGCUGGCUUUUGGAAUAGCAAGAGACAUUCUUAAUAUACUCAGCUUUUCCUAUAAAUAUGGCUAAGUUAGCUCUGAAGUUUUCAAUGAAGGUCAAAACUUAAAUAUAGUAUUUAGCAACAUUAGCUCUGAGCAAUUAAAUUAAGUCACUUAACCUGAGUCUCCUUUUCCUCAUCUAUAAAAUGGAGGUAGUAUAAUACAGUGAUAAGAGCACAGGAUUUAGAGUCAGACGACCUCAGUUUAAAUUUGUCACUGCCACUUACUACCUGCAUGACAUUGGGCAAGU